rnacentral:rRNA from 1 species
CACGUGUGUAGCCCCGGACGUAAGGGCCGUGCUGAUUUGACGUCAUCCCCACCUUCCUCACAUCUUACGACGGCAGUCUCUCUAGAGUCCUCAGCAUGACCUGUUAGUAACUAAAGAUAAGGGUUGCGCUCGUUAUGGCACUUAAGCCGACACCUCACGGCACGAGCUGACGACAACCAUGCAGCACCUUCACAUUUGCCUUGCGGCUAACCUGUUUCCAGAUUAUUCAAAUGCAAUUUAAGCCCGGGUAAGGUUCCUCGCGUAUCAUCGAAUUAAACCACAUGUUCCUCCGCUUGUGCGGGCCCCCGUCAAUUCCUUUGAGUUUCACCGUUGCCGGCGUACUCCCCAGGUGGAAUACUUAAUGCUUUCGCUUGGCCGCUUACUGUAUAUCGCAAACAGCGAGUAUUCAUCGUUUACUGUGUGGACUACCAGGGUAUCUAAUCCUGUUUGAUACCCACACUUUCGAGCAUCAGUGUCAGUUGCAGUCCAGUGAGCUGCCUUCGCAAUCGGAGUUCUUCGUGAUAUCUAAGCAUUUCACCGCUACACCACGAAUUCCGCCCACCUCUACUGUACUCAAGACAGCCAGUAUCAACUGCAAUUUUACGGUUGAGCCGCAAACUUUCACAACUGACUUAACUGUCCACCUACGCUCCCUUUAAACCCAAUAAAUCCGGAUAACGCUCGGAUCCUCCGUAUUACCGCGGCUGCUGGCACGGAGUUAGCCGAUCCUUAUUCAUAUGGUACAUACAAAAUUCCACACGUGGAAAACUUUAUUCCCAUAUAAAAGAAGUUUACAACCCAUAGGGCAGUCAUCCUUCACGCUACUUGGCUGGUUCAGACUNGCGUCCAUUGACCAAUAUUCCUCACUGCUGCCUCCCGUAGGAGUUUGGACCGUGUCUCAGUUCCAAUGUGGGGGACCUUCCUCUCAGAACCCCUAUCCAUCGAAGGUUUGGUGAGCCGUUACCUCACCAACUGCCUAAUGGA